rnacentral:rRNA from 1 species
GACGAACGCUGGCGGCAGGCCUAACACAUGCAAGUCGAGCGAGCGGCGGACGGGUGAGUAAUGUAUGGGGACUGCCCGAUAGAGGGGGAUAACUACUGGCAACGGUGGCUAAUACCGCAUACCAUCGGAUACCCCAUAUGUGAUUAGCUAGUAGGUGGGGUAAAGGCUCACCUAGGCGACGAUCUCUAGCUGGUCUGAGAGGAUGAUAAGCCACACUGGGACUGAGAGACGGCCCAGACUCCUACGGAGGCAGCAGUGGGGAAGAUUGCACAAUGGGCGGAAGCCUGAUGCAGCCAUGCCGAGUGUAUGAAGAAGGCCUUAGGGGUGUAAAGUACUUGCAGCGGGGAGGAGUUACCCGCAGAAGAAGCACCGGCUAACUCCGUGCCAGAAGCCGCGGUAAUAC